UACGGGGGGGGCAAGCGUUGUCCGGAUUUAUUGGGUUUAAAGGGUGCGUAGGCGGUCUUGUAAGUCAGUGGUGAAAUACGGCAGCUCAACUGUCGAGGUGCCAUUGAUACUGUAGGACUUGAGUACAGACGAGGUAGGCGGAAUUGACGGUGUAGCGGUGAAAUGCUUAGAUAUCGUCAAGAACACCGAUAGCGAAGGCAGCUUACUAGGCUGUAACUGACGCUGAGGCACGAAAGUGUGGGGAUCAAACAGG
rnacentral:rRNA from 1 species